GGGGUGGAGCAGUCUGGUAGCUCGUCGGGCUCAUAACCCGAAGGUCGUUGGUUCAAAUCCAGCCCCCGCAACCAAUA
rnacentral:tRNA from 2 species